rnacentral:rRNA from 1 species
AUUGAACGCUGGCGGCAGGCCUAACACAUGCAAGUCGAACGAGUGGCGGACGGGUGUGAAAUGUCUGGGAAACUGCCUGAUGGAGGGGGAUACCUACUGGAAACGGUAGCUAAUACCGCAUACCAUCGGAUGUGCCCAGGUGGGAUUAGCUAGUAGGUGGGGUAACGGCUCACUGAGGCGACGAUGCCUAGCUGGUCUGAGAGGAUGACCAGCAAAACUGGAACUGAGAGACGGUCCAGACUCCUACGGGAGGCAGCAGUGGGGAAUAGUGCACAAUGGGCGCAAGCCUGAUGGAGCCAUGCCGCGGGUAUGAAGAAGGCCUUAGGGUUUUAAAGUACUUUCAGCGGGGAGGGGUUACCCGCAGAAGAAGCACCGGCUAACUCCGUGCCAGCAGCCGCGGUAAUAC